rnacentral:lncRNA from 1 species
AGCGGAGGGGCGGGCUGGGCGGCGCGCUGGAAGCUGCUCGGCUGUCGCCAACGGCACUGGAGGCAGCUCAGGUGACCGCGCGGUCCCGGGAAGCCGAUUGGCCGGGUCUCUACCAAGGGGUGGGGGGUGGGGGUCCGGACCGGAAGCCAGGCCACGUGACCCGGAAACGGCUAUGGGCAGGGCGGGCGCGCCUGCGCACUCCUGAAUGUGCCUCAGGGACGCGCGCGCGCUGCAGUCCCGGCAGUUUAGUGGUGAGAAGAUAGUAUUUCGCGGUGCCCUUUGUCGACCCUGCUCUGCGGGGCGGGGAAGGUCUGGGCCGCCGAGAGGCGUGUUCGAGCUACCACAACUCCUUGCUCUGAGAGGGUGGGACGGGGAGGUGUGCUGCCCGGUGAUGUUGGUGAGGGGAGAGAGGGACUGCUGCAACUCUGGGGAAAACAAGUCGGCUCUUCCGUGGAGCUCGGGUACGCGUUCAGAGGGCUUUUUGCAAUUACUUUGCUUCAAAAUUGUCCGGAAUCUGGCCCCUCCUCCCCAUCACACUGCUACAGCCCUAGACACCUUUCGCCCCAAGCUGUGCGAGUGUCUCUUCCCUGGGCUUACCUCGCCCAUCCUCAGUGCUGCGGACCUGAGGAGUUACUGUACGUUCUCCGCAGAAAAGCCCAGACAGCACCUCAUCUUCAAGAUUCCGCUUCCUUCACACGGAGUCACCCCCCUCCUCCCUCACAGCCGCCUGGGUUCCAGUUUAGCAUUGCCGACGACUUGCUCUGCCUGGCAUGCCCUUGCUCUCAAAUGUCACAUCUGUGAAGCUUCACUCUCAAACCCUGAGACAUUUAUUACAAGACUGUUUCUCAUGGAAUAA